GUUUGUCUCUCCUGGUGUGGUGUCUGGAGGAGUAGGGGUUUGUCUCUCCUGGUGUGGUGUCUAGAGGUGUAGAGGUUUGUCUCUCCUGGUGUGGUGUCUAGAGGAGUAGGGGGUUUGUCUCUCCUGGUGUGGUGUCUAGAGGAGUAGGGGUUUGUCUCUCCUGUUGUGGUGUCUGGAGGAGUAGGGGUUUGUCUCUCCUGGUGUGGUGUCUGGAGGAGUAGGGGUUUGUCUCUCCUGGUGUGGUGUCUGGAGGAGUUGGGGUUUGCCUCUCCUGGUGUGGUGUCUAGAGGAGUAGGGGUUUGUCUCUCCUGGUGUCUAGAGGAGUAGGGGUUUGUCUCUCCUGGUGUCUGGAGGAGUAGGGGAUUUGUCUCUCCUGGUGUGGUGUCUGGAGGUGUAGGGUUUUGUCUUUCCUGGUGUGGUGUCUGGAGGAGUAGGGGUUUGUCUCUCCUGUUGUGGUUUCUGGAGGAUAGGCGUUUGUCUCUCCUGGUGUGGUGUCUGGAGGAGUCGGGGUUUGCCUCUCCUGGUGUGGUGUCUAGAGGAGUAGGGGUUUGUCUCUACUGGUGUCUGGAGGAGUAGAGGGUUUGUCUCUCCUGCUGUGUGUCUGAAGGAGUAGGGGUUUGUCUCUCCUGGUGUGGUGUCUGGAGGAGUAGGUGGUUUGUCUCUCCUGGUGUGGUGUCUGGAGGAAUAAGGGUUUGUCUCUCCUGUUGUGGUGUCUAGAGGAGUAGGGGUUCUCUCUCCUGGUGUGGUGUCUAGAGGAGUUGGGGUUUGUCUCUCCUGGUGUCUGGAGGAGUAGGGGGUUUGUUCUCCUGGUGUGGUGUCUGGAGGAGUAGAGGAUUUGUCUCUCCUGGUGUGUUGUCUGGAGGUGUAGGGGUUUGUCUCUCCUGGUGUGGUGUCUGGAGGAGUAGGGGAUUUGUCUCUCCUGGUGUGUUGUAUGGAGGUGUAGGGGUUUGUCUAUCCUGGUGUGGUGUCUGGAGGAGUAGGGGUUUGUCUCUCCUGGUGUGGUGUCUGAAGGAGCAGGGGGUUUGUCUUUCCUGUUGUGGUGUCUGGAAGAGUAGGGGUUUGUCUCUCCUGGUGUUGUGUCUGGAGGAGUCGGGGUUUGUCUCUCCUGGUGCGGUGUCUAGAGGAGUUGGGGUUUGUCUCUCCUGGUGUCUGGAGGAGUAGGGGGUUUGUCUCUCCUGGUGUGCUGUCUAGAGGAGUAGGGGUUUGUCUCUCCUGGUCUGGUGUCUGGAUGAGUAGGUGGUUUGUCUCUCCUGGUGUGGUGUCUAGAGGAGUUGGGGUUUUGUCUCUCCUGGUGUGGUGUCUGGAGGAGUAGGUGGUUUGUCUCUUAUGGUGUGGUGUCUGGAGGAAUAAGGGUUUGUCUCUCCUGGUGUGGUGUCUGGAGGAGUUGGGGUUUUGUCUCUCCUGGUGUGGUGUCUGGAGGAGUAGGGGUUGUCUCUCCUGGUGUGGUGUCUGG
ensembl:lncRNA